CGCAGCGCCUUACGCUUCCUCACCCUCCAGCUGGGUGGCCGUGAAGCUGAUAGAUGAGGCGCCGCCGAAGCCGCUGUCGUAGCUGACGCCUCCUCGGAGACGGGACUGCUGGGGAGUCGCUCCUUCCUCCUGGAGUCUCUGCGUAUCUCCUCAGCCCGCACCUCGCUGCUGUCCAGCCAGCGCACCUCCUGACACAGGACAGGCUUCAGGUCCAUGGCGCCGUAGAGACGACCCUGCAGCUUGCCGAAGAUGGACACCAGCGCUCGGGGAAGCAGACCCGCCUCCAGUCCCGUGCCUGAGCAGCAACGGCAGGCAUGUGUGACGAUGGAAGUUAAAGAACCCGAGUGGACCUCACUGGGAUUAUAUGCCUGGAGAUGACUUAUGAGAUCGAGACCCCCAGAACUGCAGCCUUCAGAGUUACUGCUUUGCUGCCCUUCAUCUGAGGUCCAGCAGGAGCUGCAAACACCGAGCAGCAGCUGGUGCAGAUCCAUCAUGAGGUCCCGCGUGUGCAGUCUGCACGUCUCUGACAGCUAGCAGGCUGUAGGUGCUGCUGAAGCUUCAUCAGCAUGAACCCACCACAUCCAGUCAGGAUGUCUGUUAACCAAUUUCUGCACCCAGCCUCAAAGCGAUUGCUGGUUGGUGCCAAACACAAUCUCAGUACUUUUCGGCCUUUUUGUCAAAUUAGCAUUUAAUGGCCUGUUUCCCCACUUAAGAUUAAAAUUGAAUUUAUUGAUCCCAGAGGGAAAUCCUGGGAUCAAAAUUCUUCUUCAACAAUAAGAACGCAAGGACGUCCCGGACGGUGUCCUUCAUGGUGCGCUCGUAAAACUCCUGCUGCGUCGUAUUAGGAGCAGAAAUCUGCAACAGCGUCAGAGGUUAUCAGCUCGUCUUCUCCCAGUGCCGUGACCUGCGCACGUGGCGUUAAUUCUGCAGGAUGCGCGACCACUCUUCGGCCGCCCCAGAUGAGCACGCCGUUCUGCCAGCCCUCCAGAGCAUGCAAGCCCUGAAACUGCCUUACUUGCGUG